GAACCGAUUGAAACCAAAAGAAAGCGUAUUGUGGAAAAAACAAAACGUACUGUAAAAAAUUAAAAGGUUAGGGUUUAACUGAGAAAACCAAUUGAAGCAUCUAUUAUGAAAGAAAAUCAUUAAAAUCUUAAGUUCCAGCAAACGGUAAAUUGAUUUUAGCAAGGAGUCGAAACUUAUCACAGUUAUAAGCUCCAAACUUCACAUCCAGGUUGUUGAACAAUAGUCCAUUUCCAGUUUCAGUGAGCAAAGCAUCUUAGAGAGAAGAGAGAAAGACGAAUGUAUAGUUAGAAAAAAAAGAAAAAAUAUAGAUGAAUGAAGAAGGUAAGAGAUGGAGCGGUGGAGACAUAGUGGAGGGCCGGUGUUUAAUGGAGAUCCUCCUACCUGUGUCAAAAUGUGCAUACAGUCGAGGUUAAAAAAGAGAUACACGAAUCGAUCAAGAGACAGAUAAGAUAGAAAGAAGUACCUAUUAGUGUCGAAGGCUUUCCAGAGAAAGAACGAAGUUGGUGUCGAUCAAUUUUAAAACAUUUGUACAGCGGUGGAGACUUGAAGCAUUUGUAACGAUGAAGGAGGCGGUAGAGAAGGGGCGAUGCUGAAGUGAGAGAGGGGUAGGAUCAUCGAUUAGGAAUUAGCCAACAUCGGCUUGUACCCGGCUGAGAAAUAGAGGAUCGUCUAAUCCGGGAUGCCAUGGCGUCGAUGCUCUUCGGUUUGUGGGAGCAGCAUCUGCAAAAUUUAGGGAUUAAAUUUAGGUCUACAAAUCAUACAAAUCGAGAUUCAAAGUGAAGUUUAGAGAACGAAAAACAAACAUGUUGCAAGAUGGCGCCGGCUACGUUAUAGAAUACUUCAUCGACUACACCACCAACAUCGGCGACCAUCACUCAUGCAAUCACUGGUGCCCCAGUGGCGUACGACGGGUCGAUUUUGCCGCCGAUGCGAUGAGGUUUCUGGAAAGAAAUCAGAGUGCGUAGCAGGAGAGGUGGGUUGGGGAAAGUGGUGGCUGAAUAGAAACAUGGAAGAGGAAAACGUAACGAACCGAAGCAGACGGUGGUGAUGGCGGUGCUCAAUUGGCUAUUUCGUCAAAGUGAGAGAAAUCGACAUUCUUAGUGAAGGUGUGUGGUUGUUUUCAGGAUUCCUUCAUCGAUAAAACAAAUAGGGUAUAAUCAACCUCUAAUGUCUGCCUCCCGCUUUCCUAUGAGGAACAAAAUUUCCUCUGUUUCAAACAUUUUCUGUCUCUCGUUCCAUACUAUCUUCGCCGCCGCUGGUCAGCCGCUCCCCGUCGCCAUAUAUAAUCGAUUGAGGGAAAGCGAUGGAUAAAACGGGAUAGGGGAUAGAACUGGAAUCG
rnacentral:lncRNA from 1 species